rnacentral:lncRNA from 1 species
AUAGGGAAAAUAAACCUUGGGUUUGACCUGAGGAAAAUGAAGCCACUUAACCUAAUUUAUGCUUUUGACUGUUCUGUUGCUGGAAAGGAAAGCUUUUACCAAUUAUUCUCAGUUCUUUUAGCGGGGGGGGGGGGGGGGGGGGGGCAGAGCACUUGUUUUAAGAGAUGUGACAGAAAGGAAUCUACGAUCUUUAUGAAAAGUUGACCUGAUUCAGGUCUAAAAAUGAGAUUUUGAAUAAAAUGCGAAGACUCUUGACAGUGAAUCAGUUCACUCAAAGAAGAGUCCUAUCACUAAAACCCAGGUUAGUGAAAAAUGUUUGAUGCCAUUCGCUUGGGAUUUUUUGUUUUUAAUAAUGUGAUGGAUUCCAGUUUUUUCUAAUCCAUUCAAAUAGACAUGAGUUUAAAUCUGUGCUACGGACACACGUGAAGGAGUGGCCAUUAUUUAGGCACUUCUUGGCGAGUAGCCAGGAGCCUUCCACCUUUGCUUAUCCAGAAUCCAGCGCCUCAGCACACAAAUGAUUUUAUUGUCUUUUUGUUGUACUGACUUUCAUCUGCAGCAUUUGGAGUUUAAAAAUAGUGUUAAGGUCCUAGUAAAAAUAAAUAAUGGCCCUGAGGCCAAUUAUCGUAGAACCACCAGAUAAAAUUCUGGACGUGAGAUUGCUUGCAGUCUAAUGGUACUUGAGGUUGAGAAAUAAAUGUCUUUACUUUAGAAAAUCUCAUUUAAGUCAGUUUGUCCACUACAGUUCAAAAUUGAGGGUGAAUUCAGUUAACUAGCAUUUCACCAGCUUUCCCUUGCCCUUGGAGGAAAAGAAUCUUGUUCUCAACCUGAUCUCUGUUAAGAAAAAUCCUAUAUAAAAAAUCUGGUCAUUAAGAUACAUGUGAUAUGAUGGCAUCAGAUAUUCUCUUCGUAGUUGUAACCAAGUGAAACACAUUUCUCAUUGUGGGUUGGACAGUAAUAUAGUGUUAAGAGGGUCAGAAGCUGCUGGUUUCUACUGUUUGUUUUCAGUGCCCUUGGGUUUUGUUUUUUCUUUGUUUCAACCCUAAGAAAGGGGCAUCAGCUUUGGAAAGUGUGGCCUGUGGAAUGGUAGAAGGCAGUGAUGCAGCAGUAAAGAGAGCCUCCACUUGAUGCCUGAAAUCCAGCCCACUAUUGUUCUGACCCACAGCAAUAGUGCAAGUUACCUUCACCAGCAUUUGUACAUAGCAGGGAAUUCUGGUUUUCACCAAUGGAUAGCAUUGUGUGUAUGAGGAGAUUCAACCCUACAGACAGCUGCGGGACUCUAUAUCCAUGGCUUCUUUCCAUCACAAAACGGGUAGAAACUCAUUCACUGCUUCAGGGUUCUAGUCUGUGUGUCUUCUAAUGGGUCCAUUUCUAUAAGAUACUCUGUAAUUUUGAUACAUGCUGUGUUUUCUUUCAGUGACUAAGUUUAAAAGGCUUGGGUUUUGUCCAGCAAGCUGGCCAUACUGCCAUUGUACCCCUUUCCUUCAGUAUGGUUUAGAGUGCAGCUCAGUCAUUAGACUUUCAUUGUCUCCUCAGUCAAUACACAUCUUCACUGUUUGAAAGGUGUUACAGCUGUUCAAGAAUCUUCAUGAACCUGAGGAUAAUUUCUUGUGAAGUUGAAUGCAAAUGUACUGUCAUUCAUAGUGUUUAUAUAAAAAAAAAAAAUACCAGGAAUCUUCACUUUUGCUACCUUGAUAUAGCAUUGGGCUAUCAUGUUAACAUUGAAAUACAUCAAUUUAUUAAAAAAUACUUUUAU